rnacentral:rRNA from 1 species
UACUCAAUAACUAGCUUACACAACUAAAAUAACAAAUGUUAUUAAACAAGCCUAAAGUUUCUAAACCCCUUAACUAAAACAUUUUCUUGUUCUUAGUACGGGCGAC